rnacentral:SRP_RNA from 1 species
GGCUGAGCUUGGCCGGGGAGCUAGACGUACCCUGUGACCCCCAACCGCCUUUAGGGGGGGCGACAGCCGGCGGCGGCGCACCCAGUGGGUCGCCCAAUCCGCAAUCCGACCGUGAAGUCCUGUCCUCCGGGGUCGCAGGCGGUCAGUGCGGUCUGCCGGAGGGCAGGCCGUCGGCCUUCACCACGGGAAUCGGGUCAGGCCCGGAAGGGAGCAGCCCCACCGUGGACUUCCGACGCUCGGAUGGGU